rnacentral:rRNA from 1 species
UACGUAGGGGGCAAGCGUUGUCCGGAAUUAUUGGGCGUAAAGAGCUCGUAGGCGGUGUGUCGCGUCGGAUGUGAAAGCCCGGGGCUUAACCCCGGGUCUGCAUUCGGUACGGGCAUGCUGGAGUUCGGUAGGGGAGACUGGAAUUCCUGGUGUAGCGGUGAAAUGCGUAGAUAUCUGGAGGAACACCGGUGGCGAAGGCGGCAUCCUGGACCGGCAUUGACGCUGAGGCGCGAAAGCCAGGGGAGCAAACGGG